UUUCCAUUUCACUACUAGUUGUUGGAAGUUGGAACAGAGUCUUCCCACAAAUUCCUAUGCUCACAAACAUGAUUUUCGAUUUUCCUUUUUCUUUUAAAUUUGCUGUUAUGGAAAUUUAACAUGGUUUAUCUGAUAAUAAUAAUAACGAACAUCAUCCAGGUUUCGAAUUUGCUUACAUAAAUGUCAAAUUGCUGCACAACUGAUACUGAUGCUCGCUUAAUUGUAGUUCAACUUGGAACAACAUGCACAGAGAUAUUAGAACAACAUGAAAAGUCAUUGUCAAUAGCUCAUAUGGAAGAUAAGAAAUACAUCCAGAAUUUGGAAAAAGAGCUGCUGAAUUGUUCUCAAGAAAUUGAUUAUCUUCGGGAUCAACUCAGUGCAAGAAACACAGAGGUGAACUAUCUAGAAGAGCGUGUUCACAAUCUUGAAUUGAAAUCGAAAGAGAUGGAAGAUUUACAUGAUGAAGUUUUUUUCAGCUUAAGGGAGGAGCUGAAAAGAUCAAAUUCAAAGCAGUUUUUCUUGAUUCAGGAACUAGAGACUAAAGAAGUGAAAUUAGAGCAGUCUGCUUUGUCCAUGGAAAAGCUGGAGGAAUCAUUUUCAUCCAUGGCAUUAGAAUCUCAGUUUGAAGUCGAGAGUAUGAAGCUUGAUAUGAUGGCCUUGGAACAGAAUUUAUUUGAGGCCAAGAAAAUCCAGGACGAAACUCUAGAAGAAAAUAAUAGAAUGAGUACAUUGAUUGACGAGUUACAGGAUGCAUUGCAGGAUGCACAAAAAACCAUCAUUUCUCUGAAUGAAGAAAAUAAGGAAACUAAAGAGAAGCUUGAUACUGUCAACAUGAACACGAGAUUAUUUUCUCAAAAGGUUAAAGACUGGCUGGAAUACAAAGACAGACUGCAAAUUGAGGAUCAGUCUUCCGUGAGCGAAUGUAGGAGAAAACCAGAGGACACAAGAGUUUAUGGAGAAAUAUUGGGUCCACUCAUUGAUAUUUUAGCAAUGAAGUUAGAUCCAGCUGCUGAAUUGAAAGGGAAGAUGGGGAUGUCCUGUCAGAUCCAAGAAUAUGGCUUUCUUGUGGAGAAACUCAAGGUACGACUGUCCAUCUAAAGCUUAAUCAUUGGAGUUAUCAACGCAGAAGAAGAAUUAGGAAUGGAAAAGUUGAGGGCAAAAGAAGAAGCAGAGGACUUAGUUCAAGAAAUGGCAGAGCUGAGAUACCAAUUAACAGGUCUGCUAGAAGAAGAACGUAAGCGCCGUGCUUGCAUUGAACAUGUGUCCUUGCAAAGAAUUGCCGAGUUAGAGGCUCAGCUUCAAAGAAAGCAUAAAAACCUCUAACUGCUAUCAGAUAUCUCCUUGAAACAUAGAGGCUGGCAUUCUUCUAAGUCUUGCAGGACCGGCUUUAAAGAAAGUUCAAGGUUUGUAUCAAUGUAUCUCAAAAGUUACCAUCUUGACGUAAGAAUAGUUUGCUAACUACAGGUGUCUACAAAGUGGAACUAUUUAACUCAAUGCUUGUUAGAUUGAGUACAAAGUCCAGCAUAUAAUUCUUAUCUCAUGUUGUUCUCAACCAUGUGGUUUAGAUCAAAUGACCUUUGAGGCUUUGACCAGGUUCCCUUGUAUACUAGAGGGGCAGUGUAGUAGAAUUCUGGGUCCUUAUAGCUGCAUGCUAUACAUAACUCCUCUCUAGUCUGGCCAUGGUCUGCACCAAAUUCCGACUUUCCUCUGACCUGGAACCAGUUGAUGAAUAUGAGUAGUUUUACGGAGAAACAAAAAUAACAGAAGUUUCUAGUUAAUUACGGCCAGAACAUAGUCGAAUGAUAAUGCAAUGGGGUUCCCUCUGUGUCAGUUGUUAAAAAAUGGAGUUUGCUACAUUCUUUAGUCCCAAAAGUAUUGAAGUUUUCUUCAUGCUGGUUUCUACAGCAUAUGUGUACUAUCAAUCUUUCACUUUCGUUUAUGACUCUUGUAAAGUGUUUCACAAGAUCACUUUCAUUAAUUUGAAUUGCUAUUCUUUUGUA